rnacentral:rRNA from 1 species
CCUACGGGAGGCAGCAGUGAGGAAUAUUGGUCAAUGGGCGAGAGCCUGAACCAGCCAAGUCGCGUGAGGGAGUACUGCCCUAUGGGUUGUAAACCUCUUUUGUCGGGGAGCAAAAGCCGGACGUGUCCGGCUGUGAGAGUACCCGAAGACAAAGCAUCGGCUAACUCCGUGCCAGCAGCCGCGGUAAUACGGAGGAUGCGAGCGUUAUCCGGAUUUAUUGGGGUUAAAGGGGGCGCAGGCGGAUUUUUAAGUCAGCGGUCAAAUCGUGGGGCUCAACCCCAUCCAGCCGUUGAAACUGGUGAUCUAGAGUGUGCGAGAGGUAUGCGGAAUGCGUGGUGUAGCGGUGAAAUGCAUAGAUAUCACGCAGAACCCCGAUUGCGAAGGCAGCAUACCGGUGCACAACUGACGCUCAGGCACGAAAGCGUGGGUAUCGAACAGGAUUAGAUACCCUAGUAGUC